rnacentral:rRNA from 1 species
AACGAACGCUGGCGGCAUGCCUAACACAUGCAAGUCGAACGAGACCUUCGGGUCUAGUGGCGCACGGGUGCGUAACGCGUGGGAACCUGCCCUUAGGUUCGGAAUAACUCCCCGAAAGGGGUGCUAAUACCGGAUAAUGUCUUCGGACCAAAGAUUUAUCGCCUUUGGAUGGGCCCGCGUUGGAUUAGCUAGUUGGUAGGGUAAAAGCCUACCAAGGCGACGAUCCAUAGCUGGUCUGAGAGGAUGAUCAGCCACACUGGGACUGAGACACGGCCCAGACUCCUACGGGAGGGAGCAGUGGGGAAUAUUGGACAAUGGGCGAAAGCCUGAUCCAGCAAUGCCGCGUGAGUGAUGAAGGCCUUAGGGUUGUAAAGCUCUUUUACCCGGGAUGAUAAUGACAGUACCGGGAGAAUAAGCUCCGGCUAACUCCGCG